UGAUUGGCUCUUUGAUGGCGUUUCAAUGUGUUAUAGAUCGUAUUUCUGUGGUUUGCAGUUGAUAGAUGCAAAAAGAUGUCCAAAGCCCACGGAACAGAGAUGGUUCCAGUUGCUGACGACAUGGAGAAU